AACCAUUAGGGAGACUGACAAAAACCUCCGGGAACCUCCGGGAACCGCACUUAGGAAACCUGAAUGGAAACCUCUGGAGACGUUGCGCCCCACCCAAGGUUGCCGAUUGGUCGAAGCCAGUGGAGUGGGGUUGCUAUUUACUUACAGGCAGUCGAAGGCAAUCUCCUUCGCUGACCGGCUACUUUGAUUGGCUCGUUGGAGUUUUCAGCAAAGAUCCUGUAGGAUCUUUGGUUUACAAGACCGAGAAGAUCCGCCGGAAGGAGGUUACUGGACACAAACUGGCUGAUGAAUUCCCUACAUUACAAUGGUGGCUCUGCUGCAGUAAUCCUUUGUUGGCUGUAUUGUAAAACAUUUGGAGAUGAUCUGAAGUCAAGAAAGGCGUCAUAGAAAGGCAAAUGUCAGAACCGAGCUUUGAACAAAGUUACAUUUCCCAGAGGUAUGAAGAACCUGUAGCACAUCCGAAGAUCUGUUGAAGUUAGGUAUACGAGGCCUAAUGCAGAUCGGGUGGACAAUCAGCAAGAGUACAGCCUACCUGAUGGAAAUCAAGUCAAACAUAAGGAAACAUGGACAAAGAAGCUUAAGAGAGACAAGUGUGUAUUGAUUGAACCUGUCUAAAUAAUGCAACAGGUCAUUUAAUUUUAGUGAAUGCAAAUGUUCAAUAUGAAAAUAGCAUUUUUGAAAUCAUUUUCCAAUGUGAAUGUGAAUUAUUCCAAAAGGGGAACCAGGAUGUAUUAGUGAAGUAAUUUCAUUGUUGGUUAACUUGCCUGCUUUUGUUUUAUACACUUAACUGUUUUUGAAAUAUAUUAUUAGGCAUGUUUGAAACGUGGCAGUUCAUUAAGAAUUAUUAAUGAAGGAUAGGGGUUGUUUGCUGACAGUUUUAUUACUGCCCUUCAUUAAUGUCAGCAAUGAUACUCGUCAAGAAAAAUCAUUUUCUAGGAACUUUCAAUGUAUCAUGAAAUUGCAAGUGAAAUUGUAUGCUUUUUAUACAAACAACCAUAAUUACAAAAUUGGCAAGGUUUGUACAUUAUUUCACUCCACCAAUUUUUGUUAACACCCUCAUUACAGAAAGGAAACCUGUAAUAAGGCUCCCAAUUCAAACUUAUGUGGCAGAUAUAUGUAUCAUUAAAGUAGUGGUUUGAAUGCUGCUCCAUUAAUUGUUGAUCUUCUUUGCUCUAUAUUAUUUGUACAUGCAUUCCACACAAAAAGAGAUGACUUGGUAAAUUAGUCAGGUUGGUUGCUUGCAUACUGGUUAUUUAACUUAAUUGGAAGUCAAAUGUUUCAAAGGUUUCAAAGGCCUUUUAUUGUCACAUGUACCAAUUACGGUACAGUGGUAUGUACAGUGGUAUUACCAUACAGCCAUACUAAAAAAAGGGAACAAGACACACAACUACAUAAAAGUUAACA